rnacentral:lncRNA from 1 species
CCUCAAGAGAAGAGCUGCAGGCUGUCGAAAGCCCAUUUCAAGCUUUGUGCUGCCUCUUGAUCUACCUCUUUGUCCAGUGGACACGCUUUGCCUGGAGGAUUUGCAUGCGUUUAUUGCGCAGGCCUUGUGCCUCCAAGGAAAAUCCACCUCGCAGCUUGUAAAUCUACAGGUACAGACGUGACCAGUUAGUUGUCACUGCCCGGAAGACAGCUGUGCAGUCCAGCCUUCUCUUUCCCAUUAUAGUUGAAGUUUCACAGAAAAGAUCAGGAAGCUGAUUACAUCAACCCCAGAGCCGUGCAGCUGGGCUCCCUUCUCGUCCGCGGCCUCACCACUCUGGUUUUAGUCAACAGCGCAUGUGGCUUCCCCUGGAAGACGAGUGAUUUCAUGCCCUGG